UUCCGACUGACAUGAGUCGCAGGACCAGCACUACAAGAGGAGGAGAGUAAUUUGCAAUGUGCUCUUGCGAAGAGUCUGGUAACGUUUUACCGAACAAUGUUCCACCGCUGUACACUGGAUUUCUGCAAUAUCACAAAGCAAAAUGGUUUGCCACAUCCGAGUGGAGCCGUGUUUUCGGCAUCCUUUACCAAGACAGUACUCUGGUCUGGUGGUACGAAACUCAAAUGGCCAGUCGACCAGAGGGUAUCAUUUGUCUAAAGUUAGCACCCGAGUUGAUCACUACAGGCCAGUACUCGAGGCGCUUGUUUCAAGUUCCAGCUCUACCCAGGAGCCUUUCUGGCACAGGCCUUGAAAAUAUGAUUGCGGUUGGAGAGCGUCAUCGCCGGCAACGAGUCCAUUUUUUCUUGGCAGAGUCUCAACAAGAUUUCAAGUAGGCCUUUAGACAGUAUCCGCAUUAUAAUGUAUGAAAUAGAUUGAAAGCCGUAUUGGGCUAUCUAUCGGCUGAUUCCUUCACAAAAAUUGAUCUCCUACUCCCCCCCCCCUCCCCCUCCCCCAUUGAAAUCAAUUACACAGUGCGUGGUGGACGGCGAUCGUGAGCACGUUACCGGUAGCUGCAGCUCCUCUCGCAACAAUGGCACAACCUUCUCAACCCAUCAUCCAGGGACCAUCUGGUUCGAAUUACCAACCUAACGUGCCGGUCGUUCAGUAUGUCACCAAUCAACAGCAGCCAAUUUCGUCCAGCAUAAAUACGACAGUGGUGGUUCGUGAUUCUGGGCCAUCGUAUGCCGGGGACGCCGUAGUCGGAAUGGCAGCCGGUGCCUUCAUGGGGGCAGCUCUGUCCAACGCAGCUCAUACUCAUACCGGCUGGAGUUACGGCGGCUACUAUAAUCAAGACAACGACAUUACGGUGGUCAACAACUACAAUCUCGAUUACUACAACGUUGAGCAAGGUGGUGGUGGCUGCGUAUUGAAUAACAUUACCGACACCGACUGGAGUUACGACGACUUUUAAUUGAGACGCCGGCGCCAA